CACGUAGGGCGCAAGCGUUGUCCGGAAUUAUUGGGCGUAAAGAGCUCGUAGGCGGUCUGUUGCGUCCGCUGUGAAAACUCGGGGCUUAACCCCGAGCCUGCGGUGGAUACGGGCAGACUAGAGGUAGGUAGGGGAGAAUGGAAUUCCCGGUGUAGCGGUGAAAUGCGCAGAUAUCGGGAGGAACACCGGUGGCGAAGGCGGUUCUCUGGGCCUUACCUGACGCUGAGGAGCGAAAGCGUGGGGAGCGAACAGG
rnacentral:rRNA from 1 species